rnacentral:rRNA from 1 species
AUUGAACGCUGGCGGCAGGCCUAACACAUGCAAGUCGAACGGUAGCACAGAGAGCUUGCUCUCGGGUGACGAGUGGCGGACGGGUGAGUAAUGUCUGGGAAACUGCCCGAUGGAGGGGGAUAACUACUGGAAACGGUAGCUAAUACCGCAUAACGUCGAAAGACCAAAGAGGGGGACCUUGGGGCCGCACACCAUCGGAUGUGCCCAGAUGGGAUUAGCUAGUAGGUGGGGUAAUGGCUCACCUAGGCGACGAUCCCUAGCUGGUCUGAGAGGAUGACCAGCCACACUGGAAAUGAGACACGGUCCAGACUCCUACGGGAGGCAGCAGUGGGGAAUAUUGCACAAUGGGCGCAAGCCUGAUGCAGCCAUGCCGCGUGUAUGAAGAAGGCCUUCGGGUUGUAAAGUACUUUCAGCGGGGAGGAAGGCGGUGAAGUUAAUAACUUCACCGAUUGACGUUACCCGCAGAAGAAGCACCGGCUAACUCCGUGCCAGCCGCCGCCGUAA